UUUCUCUGAAAGUGUUGGUGUCGGUUUGGACAAAUGUAGUGACAGGCUUGCAGGUAGCAACGUUCUGACUCCCUUUGUUAUUCAUAUUUGGUCAGAAGAUGUAAAAUAUUUAAACAUGAAAAGUGACUUCGGAGAAUGUAGUCCCAUCUAAAGAACCAAUGAACGUCAGAUUCAUGCAAGGAGUUCAGAAAUGGGAGUGAUGGGAUUGGAAGGUAAAAUACUCAGAAGUUUUCUCUAAAUCCGGUAUCAGCUAUCUUUCUUAUAGACUUCCAUUGUCAUAAUUUUUCGAAAACAAGCAACUCCAAACAUUAAUAGCUUACAUACAAAAGGAGAGGCAGUCGUGUACUCAAACCUUAGCAUUUUAAAAAGACCACUAUAUUCUUAUAUUAUGGGGAAAAAAACAAUAAAAAAUUGGCUUUUCCUGAA